ensembl:lncRNA
GAUUGUUCAGUCCAUUUAUAGCUCAAUCGGACUUGUUUUUCCAGUAAAAUUGGAUCUUGGGUCAAAAUCAGUGUAUGGUAAGCCACCAGGAGGCGUGUUGAUAAAGCCAGCAGUGAAGGCAGUGACAGACCAGUGAGCAGACGAGGGUCCGUUCAAGAUGAAGCUGUUUCUGGCUCUUCUGUUUGUUGCUGUCGCUGGUGUGGAGUUUGGUAAGGUUCUGCUCUGACUUAUCCAAACUCCUGCAGGGGAUGCAGAGUGAUGGGAUGGGCUGUGUCCUGCUCCCAGUGAAGUCCAUGUCUUUCACUUUGAGCAAUUUUAGGCAAAGAUCUGUCUUUGGGRUAUUUCCAACCUGUUGGAUGUUAAGGAUCACUGUCGUAUAGCUGGGAUUGUUACUUUAGGCUCUUUAGGAAGUGUUACAAGAUGAAAUGUGAUUAUAUGGUAUCAUUUCUUUAAUCCAAGCUUCAACUCUCACUUUUAACAUGUUUUCUUGCUUAAUCUGACUCUCCUCUUCUGUCUUUUUAACUUUCUGUUCUGCUUGUGAGACAAAGUGAGCUAGCCUGUUUGAUGCAUUGUGUGUAACGGCUCUCUCUAAUUAUAUGUUGCAUAUAUAAAGCUCAGCCAUUAGAAGUGAGAAAGAUGGGCUAGGACACAAAGCUGGUGUCCUAGGUACUGCAGGGCUGAUUUUUCCAGUCCAUCAUGGUCUGAGUGGAGCCAAGGACAAUUUCAGCAGUCCACCUGUGAAAACAUCAAGGGUGAAGUGUUUUGGAGUGUUUCCUCAUUCACAGGUGGAUUUGGGAUGUUGUGCUGGAGUUUGCCACUAUGGGGAGUGACCCCCUACCAUCCUCCUGCCUCCCUUCUGUCCCAAUUGGGCAACCUACCAUCUCACUGAAGGGGGUGGGCUUGAAGCACACCAUCAAGUGGGCAGACCAACAGCAACCCAGCAUUGGGGGUGACUCUUCUGGGACGUGGAGGAAGGGAACAAGCCCCAUGAGCCCUGUCUGCUCAGGGAUACCACACAGACCUGAUCCCUUCAUUUCCAUCAAUGGGAUUCAAUUGCUUCUCUUCCAUUACCGGGUCCAUGAGUCCAGAGAAGGUCUGUCCUGCUCUGAUCAUUGGUAGUCCAAAGCCUCUAGGGGCUUGUGUUGUGCAAAGAGCAAUGGGUGCCUCAUGCUCACCAGAGCUGCUGCAGCAGAGACCAGUCAUCAACAGUCUCCAGAGCAGGAGAUAUUUUCUUUCAUCAUUGCAUUCUGGUGUGUUUGUUCUUCAAUGGAGAGACAACAAUUCAGAGAGGAACAUCACUAAUCAAUAGAGGAUGGCUUGGAGAGAAAGGACUCUGUGGUCAGAUCUCCCUAAGACUAGGGAAAGGAUCAUCUAGAAGGAAGAAUGGACAACGAUGGGGUGGGACACAAAUUUGGUCUAGGAUUCACUCACCAGCUUAGCUUUGCCAAUCUGUCUAAUGAGAGCGUGACAAAAGUUGAGCAACUGGGGAGCAGAAGCUCCUGCUGUGGCCCAGUGCUGCCACAUUUCUCUCUCCUGUCCUGUCCCACCUCCCUGUCCCAUUCAGGUAGCCAUGGACAGGACAGAUGCUCUGAUUUGUCAGGCAAAUGCUAGCAAAACUUGGAAAAUGCAGAGUGGAUUCUGCAGAACAAAAUUUUUCUUUUACACACUCUCACCUCUGCAAAGCUGGGAUAAAACUUUGACAUAUCCACAAUUCCUUCAAGCUUUCUCCUGGGCAUGAACAGAAUCUGUGUAAUUUUGGCAUUUUCUAGAGGGACAGUCAGAGGUGAAGGAUGAAAGAUCUGACAAUAUCCAAGUGAAGCUGGUAAAAUCUUCUCUAAGAAAUUCUGCUAAUUUAUCGUCCCUCUGCUUUCAGCUCCCCUAAAAGGAUGUGCUGUCACUAAAUUGAAAUACUUUAGCCUUUUACAUUUCCCUCUUCUUUUAAAGAAGCCUCACAAUUUGUCUCAAUCCAUUUUCACACUGUGAUUUCCUUUUUAAUCUACUGCACGUCUGCUUGUCUAUGUGUAAGUUCAUAAGUUCUUAAAACGAGAAGGAACCACUAAGUCUGUUAUCUACCUCCCUUCACAAAUAGGCCAGAUAGAUAGAUUUUCCUGAGCUUGCUUAAAACAAGGCUUUUAGACACCACAUCUUAAAGUGUCCAAGUCACAGUGUCUCCUCCCUGCUCUCUGAGAUGCCAUGUGAACUUUGCUUCUGGAGAGCUGCAUCACUUGCAAAAGUAAAGUUGUUCCAUUCCAGCUUAUUGUAUUAAACAUUUCUCUAUCUGAUAUCUUUUCCAUUUCUAAAGAAAGCUAUUCUUAUGACUAUAGCUACUAUUAAAUGUAUUUAACAAUGUCUGAGUAAGGUCAAUGAAAAUAUCUGGUUUGCACAUGUUGGGGUCAAUGCUUUAUUUAUUUAAGGUUCCUUGGUGCAUAUUCUUUGGUAUUGACUUUGACUUGUCCGAUGUUGAUUAUCAAGAAAUGAGAAUAAUGACAAAGCUUCCUCCCUAAAGCUGUAUUUAACAGCUGUCAGAUGUAGAAUUAAACUGUAAGCAAAACAUCAGACCACAAUGAGAAAAGCAGAAUAAUCAGGCAAGCUUUGAAUAAAGGCAGGAGAAUUGCUGGGUCUAUUUAUAUA